rnacentral:rRNA from 1 species
GCAAAUUGAUGGUAACACAAGAGGUAAGAGACGGCUAACUCUGUGCCAGCAGCCGCGGUAAUACAGAGGUCUCAAGCGUUGUUCGGAAUCACUGGGGCGUAAAGGGGUGCGUAGGUGGCGUGGUAAGUCAGAUGUGAAAGCCCGGGGCUUCAACCUCGGAACUGCAUCCGAUACUACCAUGCUAGAGUACUGAAGAGGUGACUAGAAUUCUAGGUGUAGCAGUGAAAUGCGUAGAUAUCUAGAGGAAUACCAAAGGCGAAGGCAGGUCACUGGGCAGUUACUGACACUGAGGCACGAAGGCCAGGGGAGCGAACGGGAUUAGAUACCCCGGUAGUCCUGGCAGUAAACGGUGCACGUUUGGUAUGGGCGCAAUCGACCGCGCCCCGUGCCGGAGCUAACGCGUUAAACGUGCCGCCUGGGAAGUACGGUCGCAAGAUUUAAAACUCAAAGAAAUUGACGGG